GGCCUCCUUGCCCUACAGUCCCCUGGGUCCAGAUAAGUGGUGGCCUGACUUUCAGGUCCAUUUCAACUCUGAAAUUGGAUUGCGUCGGGGCCUCUGAGUUCGCGAAAGAGCUGCUAAGUCUGAGCGCUCGUGGGGCCGCGCGCAGGGGGACGGCCUGCGGCGCGACGAGAGGGAACUACCCAGCCUGGAGCCUAGGGAAGCGCCUCGCCCCGCCCAGCCCGGGGUCGCGCCCCAUUCAACCGGCCCCCUCUCCACCGCCACCGAGUCUCCAGUUCCGACGGCCAGAUACAACAUCCAGGAUCACUUGCAUCCCUCCACUUCUAAACGUUUCUUCUCAAAAUGGUUCCUGGUGCGUUUUGACUGGACAUUCCUCCCUUCUGCCUCACUGCAUGUCGCCUGUUUUUCCUGGCCGAGACACUGACGGGUGGUCCACUCUUCCAUAGGACAGCUGUAAAGAGUUGCUCUGGUGGGGACCGCCCACCGAGCUCCCUGCUCCCCACUGAGCACUAUCUGGGCAAUUCAGUCUCAGCAAUAGGACCUCCAACCUGGGGGCUCUUCCGACGAAACCAAUGAAAGAAGGAAAGGAAAGCAGUGGAGAUGGUGGCUGCACACCCCCAAACUUUGACCUCAGAGAAGGAAAACCCUCGAAUACUGCUUCUCCCCAUCGUGUAUUGUAUUCCUGAAACCUGGAAAUGAAAAUGGAAAUGGUUUGAUGUAUGAAGGGACGUUAUCUAAUUAGGGCAUAAGAAAUUUAAUCUUUGCAGCAUGCAGGUCAUAUAAUUAAUGUUAAUUUAACGCUCAAAUUCUCAGUCAUUAAUUUUUAUUCUCUUAAAUGCAGUUUGGCAGGGGCCCCUGAUCCAUGGCAAUGGAUUUUGCUGGAUGUAAGAGCACACUUGGUCUUAGGAGUGACUCACCACAGACCUUCCCAUCCCAAUAACAAGAUCACAUCAUGUAUGCAUUAUUAAGCCACGUAAUUGAACAGUCCAUAGUUUGCAUAUCAGACUAUUAAAAUAAUGUGUUUUGCUUUUCUCCGAACACGAAUUGUUUAAGCCUCUGCGAAUAUGUGGCGAUUCUGAUAAUUAUCACCAAAUUACUGGAAAUGUUCUCUUCAUUAACGUGAUUUCUUUCAAGCAUUUUUUAAAAUGAGAAUAUUAUUAUGAAUUAAGAAACUUCUUACAAAGUUGUGUCAACUUUUUUUAAGACACUUGUCACUUGGAAGGAAAGAAUGUAUUUUAAAUGGAAGAGGGAGAGAAAUUCUCUUGACUAUGCCUUUCAAAUGGCUUCAUCUGGCCAAAUAAAUGUUUUCUCUCUAGUUUUUCA
rnacentral:lncRNA from 1 species